rnacentral:ncRNA from 2 species
UCUGCCGCAAGGCAGAAUCCGAAGGAAGCUGAAGGCAAACUCCCGGCCCGACGAACAGAAAUCGCAUACGAGGCUAUCGCACCCGGGCGAGAGUGCAAUGAUCCUCAAAGCCCCAUAGCUAUCCGGAAGGGGCGAUAGUAAAUGCGGCGGGUAGGUGGGAGGAAGGUCGCGCGU